CCAGACUUUUUUGGACAGGUGGACAGCCGGCGCAUGGUAGGAAAGCUCUCUAGCCGUGGAGUGUGAUUUGUAUCAGCGUCUCCACGGUGGAGAACCAGUACCACCCCAUUCUUGACACGACCUGGACUCAAGACAGCGGACAACAUACUUUUUUGGACAGGUGGACAGCCGGCGCAUGGUAGGAAAGCUCUCUAGCCGUGGAGUGUGAUUUGUAUCAGCGUCUCCACGG